AUGGCGACCAAUGAUUUGUGGGCCGGGAUUGGAUCAGCUCUGGCGUUUUUAAUUACCCUCACCACCAUGGCAAUGAACCAAUCCAGGAUCAAAUUGUUGAUCAACAAGAUCAGCGCCUACCUCAACCCAUACAUACAAAUCACCAUCCCUGAGUACGGCGCCGAGAGUUUCAAACGCAGCGACUUCUUCGUUGCGAUUGAGGCCUACCUCUCCAACUUGUGUCAUCAAGAUGGUCGGGUGCGCAAGCUGAAGGCCGAGCUCGAGAGCGACAUGCAGAAGCCCCAAGUUUCAGUUGACGACGAUCAAGAGAUCGUUGAUACCUUCAAAGGUGCCACGCUCUGGUGGUACGCCGACACAGAGCUCCCGAAGACCACUGUCAUCACCUACCGCGCUGGUGAUGAGAAGCGCCGCUUCUACCGAGUUGCCUUCCAUAAAAGGUUCCACAAACACAUCGUGAAUGACUACCUGCCCUAUGUCAUAAAAAAUGGCCGUGACGUCAUCGCCAAGAACCGCCAGCACCGCCUCUUCACCAACAACGCAAGCAGCCAAUGGAGCUCCUACAACAGAGAAAAGAGCCUCUGGAGCCACGUGGAGUUCCGGCACCCGGCGAAGUUUGACAUGCUCGCUAUGGACCCCGCCAAAAAGGACGAGAUCAAGGAUGAUCUCAAUGCCUUCAAGAUGGGAAAGGAUUACUAUGCCAAGGUCGGCAAGGCAUGGAAGCGUGGAUACCUGCUGUUUGGACCCCCAGGCACCGGUAAGUCCAUGAUGAUCGCCGCCAUGGCCAACUUUAUGGACUACGACAUCUAUGACAUGGAGCUCACGGCGGUGAAGAACAACACGGAGCUGCGGAAGCUCUUCAUCGAGACCAAGGGAAAGUCCAUCAUCGUCCUCGAGGACAUUGACUGCUCCGUCGACCUCACCGGCAAGCGCACCGACAAGAAGAAGGCCCGUAAGAAGUCUGGCGACCAGAGCGACAUGGCGACCAUGCGACAGAAAGAGGAUGAGAAGAAGGACGACGAAGACAGCAAGCUGACCCUUUCUGGGGUGCUCAACUUCAUUGACGGGCUAUGGUCGGCGUGCGGCGAAGAGCGCAUCAUCAUCUUCACCACCAACUACAAGGACAAGCUGGACGAAGCGCUGAUCCGGCCAGGCAGGAUGGACAUGCACAUCGAGAUGUCCUACUGUCGCUACGAGGCAUUCAAGGUGCUGGCCCAUAACUACCUGGACAUCAGCGAGUAUCAGUUUUUCGAGCUGUUCGGUGAGAUACACCGGCUGCUGGAUCAGGUUGACAUGUCCCCGGCGGACGUUGCCGAGCACCUGAUACGAACGGAGAAGAAGGACGCCGGCGCGUGCUUGCAGGUUCUCAUCCAAGAUCUGAAAAUUUUAAAAGCCAAGAAGAACUCGGCAGCAGAUUGUCAUCCACAGGAUCCAAUUUCAAUAGUGGUACCAGAUUUAAACCCGACGGUGCUGCCGGAUUUAAACCCGACAGUGAUCAAUAUAUUUGAGGUAGCAAGGGACAGUACAUUGGAAUCAUAA
rnacentral:rRNA from 1 species